rnacentral:misc_RNA from 1 species
GAUGAAGAACGUAGCGAAAUGUGAUAAGUAAUGUGAAUUGCAGAAUUCAGUGAAUCAUCGAAUCUUUGAACGCACCUUGCACCCUUUGGCAUUCCGAAGGGUAUGCUCGUUUGAGUGUCAUUGUACUCUCACACUUCCAAUCUUUGGAUUGGGAGCGGUGGACUUGGGUGUUGCUGCUUACUGUGGCUCACCUCAAAUCGAUUCGUGCACCUCUUGGUUGGACAUAGUACGGCGUGAUAAGUGUCUUCGCCGGCACCUCAGUAGAGGGUGGCUGAUCAGGAGCUCUGUGCUUCAAACCGUCCUCGGACAACAACUGACAACUUGACCUCAAAUCGAGUAGGACUACCCGCUGAACUUAAGCAUAUCAAUAAGCGGAGGA